CAAAAACAUCGCCUCUUGACAAAACAUAAGAGGUCCAGCCUGCCCAGUGACAAACUUUAACGGCCGCGGUACCCUAACCGUGCGAAGGUAGCAUAAUCACUUGUUCUUUAAAUAGGGACUAGUAUCAACGGCAUCACGAGGGCUGUACUGUCUCCUUUCUCUAAUCAGUGAAACUGAUCUCCCCGUGAAGAAGCGGGGAUUAAACUAUAAGACGAGAAGACCCCAUGGAGCUUUAAGCAAUGUAUUCACCCCUGCACCUUUACAUCAACCAAACAUAAGAGACCUGAAUACUAGCUUUAGGUUGGGGGGACCACGGAGUAUAAUAUAACCUCCAUGACAAACGGGCUACGCCCUUAUCCACGAGCUACAACUCUAAGAAUCAAUAAACUGAUGUUUUAUGACCCGAUAAUUCGAUCAACGAACCAAGUUACCCUGGGGAUAACAGCGCAAUCUACUUCAAGAGCCCAUAUCGACAAGUAGGUUUACGACCUCGAUGUUGGAUCAGGGUAUCCCAGUGGUGCAGCCGCUACUAAUGGUUCGUUUGUUCAACGAUUAAAACCCUACGUGAUCUGA
rnacentral:rRNA from 1 species